AGAGUUCUUGUUCACAGAGCACAGCUGCGGGGGCUGUCAGGGGCAUGGACUCCCUCUAUGGGCAGGAGGAUAUGGGCCUUUCCCCAGUCUGGCUGAGCCCACCUUAUCCCAUUGGAGGACUUGAGGUCCUUCCAAUAAGGCCCUGCCUAUAGAGUGUGAACCGGGACCAUCCGAGGGGGUGAUGAGAUUCAUCCUAAAACAAUAUAGAGUGGUGGAGGAGAGAUGUUGGUGAAACUUGACCUCUUGCAGAAAGGGGAAGAUUCUGGGCUCUGUACAUGGACAACCUGCAGGAGGAAGGGGGACCCAGUCUCUGAAGCACAGUGCACUACCGAGAAAAGAUGCUUCCCUGUCCGUGCAGGCACCUGGGUGCAGCAGAACAGGUAUUUUUCCCUCUCCACCCUGGUCUUCUCCUGUAACGUGUGGCCGCCUUUUCCAGCACGGCCUCCUGCCUUCCUGGUGCACUUUUUGGAGAACGUGGUGGAAUCAGAGGUUUCUGGCUGACUCGGUGG
ensembl:lncRNA LINC00511 long intergenic non-protein coding RNA 511